UACAACGUAGAGUACUGAACU
rnacentral:piRNA from 1 species